GUUUACGGCCAUGCCACCCUGAACAUGCCUGAUCUCAUCUGCUCUUAGAAGCUAAGCAGGGUCAGGCCUGGUUAGGACUUGGCUGGGAGUCCAUAUGGGAAUACCGGGUGCUGUCGGCU
rnacentral:rRNA from 1 species